rnacentral:lncRNA from 1 species
UCACUUUAAGCACAUGACUAGCCUCUAAGCCAAAAGAUAAUGAGUUGCUAAGCAAAGAGGUGCUGAAAUAACCAGCCCCCAUCCCUAUUUAUAGUCCAGGACUAAAGACAAUACUACCCCUACAGCUACAACUAAGAUAACUACCCACGCAGGGGCAUUUUGGUCCAAGUUUUUAUCCGCGCAUCGGACGGACACGCCGCCUUCACGACUUUGCUUCACCUCGACGCAAGCUUCGCGAUGACGCCACGUGCCCUCCUUCUCGAAGCUCCGGCCGCACCGGGCUCGCCCCCGGUUUUGAGGCCCAAACCGGGAAACCUGCAUGCGCGAUGGUUUUGAGGCCCAAACCACCCAAACCGUCCAUCUUCGCUUGGCCGCCACGCGACCUCCUCGAUGUCGACGCGUGUCCGACCUCCGCCAAGCCUCCCGCUCGACUCGACCG